GAUGCGAUAGCCGAGUUGGUUCAGGCAUUUCGUUGUAAAACGAAAAGACGGAGGUUCGAAUCCUUCUCGCAUCUCAA
rnacentral:tRNA from 1 species